GGAAGCCGCAUUCGGCUUGGCUUUAUCCAACGGUCUUGAAAACCGUCGAUGGGCAACUAUCCUAGAGUUCGAAUCUCUACGCUUCCGCCA
rnacentral:tRNA from 1 species